rnacentral:tRNA from 1 species
GGGAGUAUAGCUCAGUUGGUUAGAGUGCUUGCUUGACAUGCAAGAGGUCACUGGUUCGAGCCCAGUUAUUCCCACCA